CAGUAAACUACAGUCCAGGAUCACAUAGUUCAGAGAACUACAGUCCACUGUUACACCAUCACUUCAUGAUUGAUUCAUAUUUGUAUAUUUUCAUCUCUAGAAGCAUCUUUGAGAAGUGAAAGAUGUGCUACAGUGUGUAGAACUGAGCAAACAUUCAGCAGCAGGUUUUUGUACGAGGAUUUUUCACUGUGGAAGGAAACUGGUUCUAUACCUUUGGUUCUGGAACUAAACUGUAUGUAACAGAUGAGCAGGUAGUGAAGCCCAUGGUGAGCGUCUACCCAGCAGCAUCCACAGUCCACCUGGAGGGGAAGAGCUCCCUGCUGUGUCUGGCCUCAGCCAUGUUUCCUCCUCUGGUCCGCUUCUCCUGGAAAAAACAGAAGGAGGACGAGCGGCUGGAGGAUGUGGACCCUGCUGAGGGAGAGCAGCUGGAGAUCAGAGAGCCGGGACGCAGCGCCUCCAUCUGGCUGAUCCAUCAGCAACAGGACGGCACAUAUAAAUACAGCUGCUACGUCCAGCACGAGGGAGGAACAGUGGAGGCCCAGACACAACAAGCCUCCUGUCCUCCAGAGAGAGAACCAGCAGACCUGCCAGCUCUGCAGCAAGCUCACUUGUCCUUCCAGUCUCAGUCUCAGGUGAAGCUGCUCUGUCUGCUGUCCACAGUGCUGAUAGUGAAGAGUCUGGUGUUCUGCUGUGGAAUCUCUCUGAUGAUGAUCCUCACAAACAAGGGACCGUCCACCAACUGCACACAUGCUGACUGACUGUUUGCUGCUGGACUUUUCUCAGCGUCACACCUCAUCAAUACAUCUCAUUGAUUUGAUCAGUGAUCAGAAACAUCAGCUGUGACGUGUUGUGCUUCGUUAUAAAUUGCACCUCUUCAUGCUCAUGUUAUUUGUCCUCCUACAAGUGUUUUUACAUAUAUUCAUAUAUAUUCGUCAUGCCCCGAUGUAUGAUGACAAUGAAGCUAUUCUAUUCUAUUCUAUUCUAUUCUAUUCUGUUCUGUUCUGUUCUGUUCUGUUCUGUUCUGUUCUGUUCUGUUCUGUUCUGUUCUGUUCUGUUCUGUUCUGUUCUGUUCUGUUCUAUUCUAUUCUAUUCUAUUCUAUUCUAUUCUAUUCUAUUCUAUUCUAUUCUAUUCUAUUCUAUUCAGUUAUAAAGUGCAGUUUCUACAGGGAAAUUUUGUCAGUCUGAUCUUGUUCUGUGUCUGAGAUCCAAAGAAAUGUACAAAGUGGCACAAAUAUAAAUACAUACAUCAACAUGUCAACAAAAGAAAGCAGAUCUUUAAGCUUGCAGAUUAAUUCUUAUUUUGCAAUAAACUCUACUUUGACAAAAAAUAGAAGCUACAGCUGCAAUUAAAAUGAUCACACAGCAGCAGUUAAAUCCACCACAGCUCAAGUCGGAAUGCUGGCAAAACGAUGGACAUGCAGAUAUUUUUUGAAAUCGCUAAAAUGCCACAGAAUUGUUCCAGUUAAAUCAAUUUUAAUUGUGAUGUUAUUAAUGAGAAGAUGGAAAACUUUACAUAAACCUUAAUUAAGGAUUUUACAUACCUUAUUGUAAAAUGAUUCCACACUGAAAAUUUCUAUAUAUUAGACCGAAAAAUAUUAAUCAUUCAUUGUUUGUCACUGUUUAUGUGUGUAUUACUGUGUUAUUCAUUCAUCUGUGUUUAUGAUUUCAGUCGAUAUUAGUAUUAAAUGUUAUUCUGUUGUUUAAAAGCCUCUUGAAUCUAUGUUUGCAGUAUUUUUUUAUUAUUAAUUGUUACAAUGAAGAUUUUAUACAAAAAAGUCUAUCAUGUCUUGUUUUAUUUAUUCCAUCAAAAUUAAUUGGCAGCUCUGAGUUCAGAAUUUCACCUGUUUCUCUCACAGAUAAAGAACACAGAUGCUUCCUGGAAUGAUUCUUUUAGGCGAGUGGGUGUAACUGUCUUUGUGUUAUUAAUGUGAAAAACCACAGAUAACGGUGCCGCAGAGCAGAAACCCGUACAGGAAAGACAUUUGAUUGGCUGUCAACAUCUGAAAAUUCUGAGAACAGAUUCAUAUCUGCUGUAAACACUCAUCAGCUGCCCUCCUUCUACAUGGUUUGUGUUUUCUCGUUUUCUGUCAGCCUUGUUCCCACUCAGACCUCCACCUACAGAGUUGAGCUAAACUGAAUCACCACCUGAAGUUCAUGUCCUGCUUACAUUUUGGAGGAUUUACAAGUUGUUAUUAAAAAAAAAUAGAUUCCACUCUGUUGAUUGUUCAUGUGUGUAAACAACAGUGUCGUCAGCGGAGAGUUUCACAUUCACACUGACACAAUUCUGAAAGAUGAUUAAUACACAAAAUCAAUGAUGGGGGGACAUAGAGCAGAACCUGGUGGUUCAUCCACACCUGAUUGUCAUAUUAAAAACUUCUGUAUUCAUGUAACUUUAGAUGGCUGAGCUCUCAUUCUUGUUUAGCUGUGUGUGAAACAAGGACAAGAUUGCUAUCUAUUGGUGUCAGUAACUUCAAACCACAGUCAGAUUUGUUUCAUGUAGACACUCAACAUACAUACUUAGACACCCAAAGUUAUUUUGUAGUUUAUUGAAAAUACUGCACUCAGUAAACAUGAAGAAAUUGCAACACUGUGAUUAUGAAAAGAAAAACAAGAAAAAACAUGCUAAAAUGUAUAUAAGGCAGCAAUAUUUUGUAUUAUGUGGACGCAACAAUUAAAAGGUUUGGAAUAACUUAA